UCUGGCAUUGAUGACAAACUUGCCCUCACUGAGCGUUUUCUAAACCCGAUAAUGAUCCAUUAUAUCUGAGCCAGA
ensembl:snoRNA